rnacentral:rRNA from 1 species
GGUUAAAAAGCUCGUAGUUGGAUCUCGGCGGUCUGAGGGCGGUUCGCUUGAUUGAGUGCUACUGCUCUAUAGGCCGUGGUUUUGCCAGAGGUCUCGGGGUGCUCUUAACCGAGUGUCCUGCGAUGCUGGCAGGUUUACUUUGAAAAAAUUAGAGUGCUCAAAGCAGGCUUUUACGCCUGAAUAUUCGUGCAUGGAAUAAUAGAAUAGGAAGUCGUUUCUAUUUUGUUGGUUUUCGGAAAUCGACUUAAUGAUUAAUAGGGACAGUCGGGGGCAUUUGUAUUCAAACGACAGAGGUGAAAUUCUUGGACCGUUUGAAGACAAACUACUGCGAAAGCAUUUGCCAAGAAUGUUUUCAUUAAUCAAGAACGAAAGUUAGAGGUUCGAAGGCGAUUAGAUACCGCCCUAGUUCUAACCAUAAACGAUGCCAGCUAGCGAUCUGCCGACGUUUUCUUUGUAGACUCGGCAGGAAGCUUCCGGGAAACCAAAGCAUUUGGGUUCCAGGGGAAGUAUGGUUGCAAAGCUGAAACUUAAAGGAAUUGACGGAAGGGCACCACCAGGAGUGGAGCCUGUGGCUUAAUUUGACUCAACACGGGAAAUCUCACCAGGCCCGGACACUGGAAGGAUUGACAGAUUGAUAGCUCUU